UUUUUUUCCUUACACAUCUCGGUUAGAUGAAUCUAUCGAAAAGGUUCUAUUUUCUCUUAUUCGUGAAAUAAAUAGGUUUAACAAGAUUUCGAAAGCCUGGCAAGUGUGUAAUUGAUGAUCUAAUGAGCCUAUAGGAAAACAAGUUAACUCAAGAAUUAAAGACAACAUCUGAUUGAAAAAAAAAAAGUCUAAAGAAGAAAACUGAGUUAUGAGUCAGAGAUUUAACUUAGACGGAUUCAAUGGGAAACUGAGAGAGAAAAAUAAAAAUAUAUCUGUGAGAUUAAAAAAUAAAGAUAUCAAGGAAAGAAACAAUAAAGAUUUUAAAUUGAAAAAAAAAACAGAGUAGAAAUUUAUUGGUACAAAUGAUCUAAGUUUAAGCCAACAACUUCUCUCGAAUAACACGGGUUAAAAUAAUAAAAAUGAACACAAAUUAAAAUAUUAAGGGAAUAAAUACAUGAAGUUAAUUCAUUAA